rnacentral:rRNA from 1 species
CCUACGGGAGGCAGCAGUGAGGAAUAUUGGUCAAUGGGCGCGAGCCUGAACCAGCCAAGUAGCGUGAAGGAUGACUGCCCUACGGGUUGUAAACUUCUUUUAUAAAGGAAUAAAGUGAGGCACGUGUGUCUUUUUGUAUGUACUUUAUGAAUAAGGAUCGGCUAACUACGUGCCAGCAGCCGCGGUAAUACGGAGGAUCCGAGCGUUAUCCGGAUUUAUUGUGUUUAAAGGGAGCGUAGAUGGGUUGUUAAGUCAGUUGUGAAAGUUUGCGGCUCAACCGUAAAAGUGCAAUUGAUACUGGCAGUCUUGAGUACAGUUGAGGUAGGCGGAAUUCGUGGUGUAGCGGUGAAAUGCUUAGAUAUCACGAAGAACCCCGAUUGCGAAGGCAGCUUACUAAACUGUGACUGACAUUGAUGCUCGAAAGUGUGGGUAUCAAACAGGAUUAGAUACCCCAGUAGUC